CUAGGACACAAUCGCCAGUCGUGGGGGUGGGGGCGUGUUACUAGGGAGUCGCGUGCUGGGUGGUGGGGACACCGCCAGCUGGAGCCCGGGGCAGUUAGGGGCCGGCUCAGAUUGCUUUCUUAACUCCACCGCCUUCCCCUUUUGCUGCACGCAGACCUAACGGUGGGGCUGCUGUGGCGAACGUGACUGAAGUCCCGGCACACUUACCAGUAUCGUCUUGGCGACUCUAAUAACAGUUGCGGAUCCUAGGUAUACUCACAACUAAACUGGCAGAGAAGCUACAGGUUAUCCAUAUUAUACACAGGGAUCACCCAACCUGAAACACAUUGAACACCUCAAGACAUCUUACAGUUUCACAAGAAACGCUGACCUUGAUUUCUGUCAGCACAACCCCAAGCUGCAACUGGCAAAAUGCUUCAGAAACUUCACCCAAAUUCUUACCAGGCUGAGCUGAAGAACGUCCAAAUUGUAUUCCUUGGAUUUACUCAGCCCCAGAGAGAGGGGAAGAAACACCAAAGAGAGGGAG